rnacentral:rRNA from 1 species
UACGGGGGGGGCAAGCGUUGUUCGGAAUUACUGGGCGUAAAGGGCUCGUAGGCGGCCAACUAAGUCAGACGUGAAAUCCCUCGGCUUAACCGGGGAACUGCAUCUGAUACUGGAUGGCUUGAGUUCGGGAGAGGGAUGCGGAAUUCCAGGUGUAGCGGUGAAAUGCGUAGAUAUCAGGAGGAACACCGGUGGCGAAGGCGGUCUC